GGAUUAGAAACCCGGGUAGUCCACGCCGUAAACGAUGGAUGCUAGCUGUUAGAGGUAUCGACCCCUCUAGUAGCGAAGCUAACGCGUUAAGCAUCCCGCCCGUGGAGUACGGUCGCAAGACUAAAACAUAAAGGAAUUGACGGGGACCCGCACAAGCGGUGGAGCGUGUUGUUUAAUUCGAUGGUAAACGAAGAACCUUACCCAGGUUUGACAUCCUUGGAAUUUCUCCGAAAGGAGAGAGUGCUUUAUUGAACCAAGUGACAGGUGUUGCAUGGCCGUCGUCAGCUCGUGUCGUGAGAUG
rnacentral:rRNA from 1 species